rnacentral:rRNA from 1 species
CUGGCUCAGGAUGAACGCUAGCGGCAGGCUUAACACAUGCAAGUCGAGGGGCAGCGCGAGUAGCAAUACUUGGCGGCGACCGGCGCAAGGGUGCGUAACGCGUGAGCAACAUGCCCGUAUCAGGGGGAUAAUCCAGGGAAACUUGGUCUAAUACCCCAUAGUAAUUUUGUAAGGCAUCUUAUAAGAUUUAAAGCUUUGGUGGAUACGGAUUGGCUCGCGUGACAUUAGCUGGAUGGUAAGGUAGCGGCUUACCAUGGCUAUGAUGUCUAGGGGUUCUGAGAGGAAGGUCCCCACACUGGAACUGGGACACGGUCCAGACUCCUACGGGAGGCAGCAGUGAGGAAUAUUGGACAAUGGAUGGAAAUCUGAUCCAGCCAUGCCGCGUGAAAGGAAGAAGGUCCUAUGGAUUGUAAACUUCUUUUGUAUGGGAGCAAUAAGGCCUACGAGUAGGUUGAUGAGAGUACCAUACGAAUAAGCACCGGCUAACUCCGUGCCAGCCGCCGC